rnacentral:rRNA from 1 species
UGCUUAACACAUGCAAGUCGAACGGCAGCACGACUAAGUUGAAAGACGAAGUUGGUGGCGAGUGGCGGACGGGUGAGUAACGCGUAGGAAUAUGCCUUAAAGAGGAGGAUAGCCUGGGGAAACUCAGGGUAAUACUGCAUAAUCUCCGAGGAGUGAAGCUAGGUACGUAAGUGCCCGGCGCUUUAAGAUUAGCCUGCGUCCGAUUAGCUAGUUGGUGGGGUAAAGGCCUACCAAGGCGACGAUCGGUAGCUGGUCUGAGAGGAUGGUCAGCCACACUGGGAUUGAGACACGGCCCAGACUCCUACGGGAGGCAGCAGUGGGGGAUAUUGGACAAUGGGGGCAACCCUGAUCCCGCGUUUCGCGUGUGUGAAGAAGGCCUGCGGGUUGUAAAGCUC